AAACCCAACUAAAUUGAUUUUGGUUAUAAUUUUAACCAAUAACCGAACCAAAUCAACCCAUGAACACCCCUAAUUGUUUGUAGUCCACCUCUAUCAACAUAAGCCCGAGGAGGCUAAUUUUGGUUCAACUUUACAUGAGUCACGGGAUGUGUAUAUAUGCAUGGCAAUAUUGUCCACAUUUUUUAGAAUAGAUCUUAAGGAGGUUAUUUUUCAUUGAUAUUCAUUAUCCUUUAAAUUUUGUCGUGUUCAUAUUCAUAUAACACGAAAAUCAGCCCCUUUUAUUUUAUAUUUUAUCUCUCUUCUCCAUCCAUUUUGAUUUAGGAAUAUUUAAUAUGCUUAGUUCAUAUUGGUGUUGUCAUUUGCUGUUCGCGAAUUAAAUUUAGUAAUGGCAUUUGCUUUUUCAUUUCUUUGGCCAAUUUGUUUGACAAAAGUCCUCCCUAUUUCAAGCAUGAACUUGGAUAUCCGUUUGUGGGUGCGGGUAUCGUUUUUUCUAAGUUGGGAGUCCCACAAGGAACUCAUUUUGACCCAAUUAAUUGGGUCAAUGGCCAUAGGAUCAAAAUGCUCGGGGUCUGAAUCGCUAGAAGCCGGUUCUUUCAAUAGGAAGUCUAUAGUAUCGAGUUUCCUGCUUUCCUCGUUAUUUUAUUAUUCUCAUUUAUUUGAAUAACUUUGUAUCACUUAAAUAUGUAUUUUAUGUAUUUGAAUAACUUUGUAUCACUUAAAUAUGUAUUUUAUGUGAUUUGGUUAGCUUUACUUUGCUUGA